AGUAAAAAAAAAAUAUAUAAAGUAUAUUUGUAUAUUUAAAAAUAAUAAUUAUAAUAAUUAAAAUAGAUUGCAGGAGUGGUUGUCCCUUAAAGAAGUGUAAUCCUUUUAGGGGUUCCUGUAUCUGUGAUAGGUUUAAAUAUGGAGCGAAUUGCGAUAUAGACUGCCCGUGCGAUCCGCUGGUCUCAUCCGGAUGCGAUAGUUUGGGUAGAUGCUUAUGCAAAGUUACCCCGGAAAACGUGACGCGAAAUGGUAGCUUAUGUCCCGACAAUAAAUUUUGCCGUGCGGAUGGUCAAUGCCGUUGUAGGGAUUGGAAAUAUGGGACUACAUGUGACAAAGAAUCCACCUGUAACAGAAAUAAUACAAUAUUGAACACACCCUUAGGUGGUUGUUUCUGCGAAUUGGGCUAUUACGGCGAUAAUUGUGAAUUCGAAUGUCGGACUGAUUGCCAAAAAUUUUUUUGGAAUAAUACAUGCAAGUAUAAUGGGAAUUGUUGGUGCUUAAGAAACUAUUACGGAACUCGAUGCGAAAAUAAAUGUAACUGUGGAAGUAACGAAUACUGUCAUGGUAUUAGAGGAUGUCUCCCGAAAGAACCCCGGAAAAGAUAUUUUAAAAAGCGAUUCGUAAGAUUAGCAAAUAAUCACUUCCCCAUUAUAUCCCAGCCGGUUAUGGCAGCCAUUAUCGAGAUCACGGACGACAAGCGGACUUAAAUAUUACCAAUAAAAUUUACGGCAGAAAAUCCCGCCUAAUAGUUCCUCCGAUGCAUAUUUGGAAUUUUUCCUUUUCAAAUAAUAAUUACGAGCCUUGCCUUUGUUGAUUCUCUAUCAUAUACAUAACUUACCUUCUGGGGACAAUCAACCUAUCACCACGCAGACGGAUUAAGACCCGAGGAAUGACUACGAUUCCUUGGGACCUCGGGGCAUAGUUUGAACGAAGAAAACGAAUAAAAGAAAUCGUAAAAAUUGAAACAAAAUAGCUUGGGAAUUUAAUAUUUUUCUUUAAGUUUUAUAAAUAUCAAUAAUUUAUAAAAAAUCAAAUUAUAUUUGUAAUUGGC